rnacentral:snRNA from 1 species
AAGGGGAAUACCAUGAUCAGAAAUGCGAUUCACCCAGGGCGAGGCUCAGCCAUUGCGCUCCGGUGGCACUGACCCUUGCGAAUUCCUAAAAUGCGGGAAUCUUGACUU